rnacentral:lncRNA from 1 species
AUGGUAGUAAUCCCAAUGCUUGUGAUGAUAAUGACACUACCUACAGUGCCAAUAGUCAGCGUUCUGGUUGUUCAAAGAAGAAAGUUGUUGCCCGAGACACAUCACAUGUUUUAAGCAGAAGAGCCUAUGAUGCACAGGUAAACCAUUCCUGUCCCUUUUUCUGAACAACUGCUGGUAGUAGUAAGCUUAUAGCUCCUUGUGUGUUACUUACAAAAAAGAAGGAUCUAAUGUCCACAAAGACCAACUAAUUCUCAUUAAGGUUAGGUAUUUCUUCCCAAAUAGAACUAUGUAUUAUAUUUUAUUACCCUUACAGAUAUGAGUCUUUUUUUUUUUCUUCACAGAAUGCCUCUUCUUCAAACAGCAGCUACUCUGACAUGCAGGUAAUAAUGUAGUGUCAACUGCAUGAUAUCAAGGGGAUUUCUGAUAAAUUAGAUAUAAUUUUGAAAUUUAAAUUCUAAUAAUUUUCUUGUGCUGAAGGAUGCUAUUUUGAUUUGACAGCAUUUUCCCUAUAAUGUUAUAAUUUUGCACAGUUGUAAAUAGUGAUAUUAGGCUCAGAAAAAACAGUUUCUUCUGUU